rnacentral:rRNA from 1 species
UACGGAAGGGGGCUAGCGUUGCUCGGAAUCACUGGGCGUAAAGGGUGCGUAGGCGGGUCUUUAAGUCAGGGGUGAAAUCCUGGAGCUCAACUCCAGAACUGCCUUUGAUACUGAGGAUCUUGAGUUCGGGAGAGGUGAGUGGAACUGCGAGUGUAGAGGUGAAAAUUCGUAGAUAUUCGCAAGAACACCAGUGGCGAAGGCGGCUCACUGGCCCGAUACUGACGCUGAGGCACGAAAGCGUGGGGAGCAAACAGGG